GACGAACGCUGGCGGCGUGCCUAAUACAUGCAAGUCGAACGAGAGCGACCGGUGCUUGCACUGGUCAAUCUAGUGGCGAACGGGUGAGUAACACGUGGGUAACCUGCCUAUCAGAGGGGGAUAACAUUCGGAAACGGAUGCUAAAACCGCAUAGGUCUUCGAACCGCAUGGUUUGAAGAGGAAAAGAGGCGCAAGCUUCUGCUGAUGGAUGGACCCGCGGUGCAUUAGCUAGUUGGUGAGGUAACGGCUCACCAAGGCCGUGAUGCAUAGCCGACCUGAGAGGGUGAUCGGCCACAUUGGGACUGAGACACGGCCCAAACUCCUACGGGAGGCAGCAGUAGGGAAUCUUCCGCAAUGGACGCAAGCUGACGGAGCAACGCCGCGUGAGUGAAGAAGGUUUUCGG
rnacentral:rRNA from 1 species